AGAGUUUGAUCCUGGCUCAGGACGAACGCUGGCGGCGUGCCUAACACAUGCAAGUCGAGCGGAGACAGUGAGUAGCUUGCUACGAGCUGUUUUAGCGGCGGACGGGUGAGUAACGCGUGAGCAACCUUUCCCAGACAGGGGAAUAACACACCGAAAGGUGUACUAAUACCGCAUAAGACCACGGGAUCACAUGGUUCUGGGGUAAAAGAUUUAUCGGUUUGGGGUGGGCUCGCGUCCGAUUAGGUAGUUGGUGAGGUAACGGCCCACCAAGCCGACGAUCGGUAGCCGACCUGAGAGGGUGAUCGGCCACAUUGGGACUGAGACACGGCCCAAACUCCUACGGGAGGCAGCAGUGGGGAAUAUUGGGCAAUGGAGGAAACUCUGACCCAGCAACGCCGCGUGGAGGAAGAAGGUUUUCGGAUCGUAAACUCCUGUCCUUGGAGACGAGUAGAAGACGGUAUCCAAGGAGGAAGCCCCGGCUAACUACGUGCCAGCAGCCGCGGUAAUACGUAGGGGGCAAGCGUUGUCCGGAAUAAUUGGGCGUAAAGGGCGCGUAGGCGGCUCGGUAAGUCUGGAGUGAAAGUCCUGCUUUUAAGGUGGGAAUUGCUUUGGAUACUGUCGGGCUUGAGUGCAGGAGAGGUUAGUGGAAUUCCCAGUGUAGCGGUGAAAUGCGUAGAGAUUGGGAGGAACACCAGUGGCGAAGGCGACUAACUGGACUGUAACUGACGCUGAGGCGCGAAAGUGUGGGGAGCAAACAGGAUUAGAUACCCUGGUAGUCCACACUGUAAACGAUGAAUGCUAGGUGUAGGGGGUAUCGACCCCUUCUGUGCCGCAGUCAACACAAUAAGCAUUCCGCCUGGGGAGUACGGCCGCAAGGUUGAAACUCAAAGGAAUUGACGGGGGCCCGCAC
rnacentral:rRNA from 1 species